UAACACGUGGGCAACCUGCCUAUAAGACUGGGAUAACUUCGGGAAACCGGAGCUAAUACCGGAUAACAUAUGAGACCACAUGGUCUCAUAUUAAAGAUGGCUUUUAGCUAUCACUUAUAGAUGGGCCCGCGGCGCAUUAGCUAGUUGGUGAGGUAAUGGCUCACCAAGGCGACGAUGCGUAGCCGACCUGAGAGGGUGAUCGGCCACACUGGGACUGAGACACGGCCCAGACUCCUACGGGAGGCAGCAGUAGGGAAUCUUCCGCAAUGGACGAAAGUCUGACGGAGCAACGCCGCGUGAGCGAAGAAGGUCUUCGGAUCGUAAAGCUCUGUUGUUAGGGAAGAACAAGUACCGUUCAAAUAGGGCGGUACCUUGACGGUACCUAACCAGAAAGCCACGGCUAACUACGUGCCAGCAGCCGCGGUAAUACGUAGGUGGCAAGCGUUAUCCGGAAUUAUUGGGCGUAAAGCGCGCGCAGGCGGUCCUUUAAGUCUGAUGUGAAAGCCCACGGCUCAACCGUGGAGGGUCAUUGGAACUGGGGACUUGAGUGCAGAAGAGGAGAGCGGAAUUCCACGUGUAGCGGUGAAAUGCGUAGAGAUGUGAGACACAGUGGCGAAGCGCUCUCUGGUCUGUAACUGACGCUGAGGCGCGAAAGCGUGGGGAGCGAACAGGAUUAGAUACCUGUAGUCCACGCCGUAAACGAUGAGUGCUAAGUGUU
rnacentral:rRNA from 1 species